GAUGAACGCUAGCUACAGGCUUAACACAUGCAAGUCGAGGGACCGGCGCACGGGUGAGUAACACGUAUCCAACCUGCCCUUUACUCGGGGAUAGCCUUUCGAAAGAAAGAUUAAUACCCGAUGUAAAGGAUGGGGAUGUGUUCAAUUAGGUUGUUGGUGAGGUACCGGCUCACCAAGCCUUCGAUGGAUAGGGGUGCGGAGAGGAAGGUCCACCACAUUGGAACGGAGACACGGUCCAAACGCCUAGGGGAGGCAGAAGUGAGGAAUAUUGGUCAAUGGGCGGUAGCCUGAACCAGCCAAGUAGCGUGAAGGAUGAAGGCGUAGGGGUCGUAAACUUCUUUUAUAUAAGAAUAUGUAUUAUAUGAAUAAGGAUCGGCUAACUCCGUGCCAGCAGCCGCGGUAAUUC
rnacentral:rRNA from 1 species